GUUUGUCCUACUGGUACCCAAGUUACAGACUUAUAUCCUGUGAGCACCUGGAUUGUUAAAAUCUGUGUGCCGAUGAAAGAAGUGACCCCUGCCACCCUGUGCUGCAGAUGGGCUUUGUUGGUGCCAGGACAGAGCUGAGAAGUGCCCCUUUGCCUUCCUGCCCUGACAGAUGUGGAAGUGGCUCGCACUUGCCAGAGUAGCUUCAGAACGACCACUGCGCAUGUGAGGGCACGUCAGUGUGCAUUGGAGCCCCUCGGCCAGGAGGACGAAUACCAUGGGCACCGAGGAGGACACUGCCGGGGGCUUCAGGGGUCUCAGGGACUCUGAGCAACUUCAGUCUGGAGUUGCUUUUAUGGGAUCAGGACCAGGGACCAGGGCUGGACUGUCCAGUCACAGGAGAGGUAAGGGGAGAGGUGUGUAGUCGGUGCUGACAGCCUGCUCCACUGAUAUCCACCUUUUCUGAUGUGUGGUAUUCCGGGUAAAGCAAUUGUCCUUUUAGUUCAAGCAAUAAAUUUUCAGGUUUGUCUGUUUAAAGGGCAGGUGGUUGGGACUGCUAUUUUUUGCCUGUGGCAAACCCGCAAUGUAAACCAAUGUGGUCUGGGCGGGAAGAAAUAAUCAAAUGCAAAGCGGAGGCUCAGGUCCCUGAAGGCCAGAGGUACACGAUGAAGUGAGCCGUAGAAUGGCCAUGGGCAGGUGUCUGCAGGAGCAGCAGGCCCAGGGUCAGGGCUAGGUCCCCAGCCUGCAGACCGCUCUCUUAUGCCUAGGCUACCCUGAUUCAUUCCGAGGUGGAGUCCAGAGCUCCCAGUGCCCUUACCAGCAUCCUGUUAAGC
rnacentral:lncRNA from 1 species